rnacentral:lncRNA from 1 species
UUAGAACAAUACGUAUGACUAUGGGUAAUUUAGGCAAGGCUGUAGUUAAAGCGAGGUAUACUCAUUUUUCAAAAUUUUAUAUGUAGUUGCCUUCUCAAGACAAUAUGGGCAAAGUGAGUACAUUUAGUGGGAUCCUUGCAGGGAGCCGAAGACCCCAUGGGAUAUGACCAACUCAGCAUUCCACUGGAGGCUAUAUGAUCAAACAGCAAACUGUUUAUCAUGAAUGCAGGAUGUGGGCAAACUCACGACUACUCCCACUGCCAGAAGGUUUGCUGAGGGCCAUCGCUUCCUGGUGCCGAGCUCCUUGUCCACUAGAGGCAAGGUGCCCCCUAACUCCUUCUUCCAGAUAUACUCUUUUGUCUCUUGUCUUUUAUUCCCGUGUUCAUCCCCCUUUGUUCAGUCCACCAGGGAUCGUGGCACGUUACAUAGUGGUGCCCCGAACAGCGACAGAAUCAGGUGCUCUACAAGUGGCACUCAAACAGGCGACAGUCUGAACACGGGACUAUGAGGAUGUGAAUGAAGAAGAUUUCCUGGAACAGAGGAACUGAAAUUGACAACGCAAAUGGGGACCCUGGGAUGAGUCAGCUGGCAGCGCACGUGAGGGGGAUAUGCAGGGAGCCGAAGGCCCAUGGGACGUGACCAACUCAGCAUUCCACUGGAGGCUAUAUGAUCAAACAGCAAACUGUUUAUCAUGAAUACAGGAUGUGAGCAAACUCACGACUGUGCCUGCCGCCAGAAGGUUUGCUGAGGGCAAUCGCUUCCUGACGCCGAGCUCUUUGAAGUUAUCUACUGGAACAUCUAGAGAAUGCAGUCUUGCAAGCCUACUCUGGACCAACCAACUGACCUCUUCUUCCACCCCUCUUCUCACUAUCGCUUUUGUCUAAUAAAUACAGAGGGCCGUGUAAAGCUCAGGGCCUUGUCCACUAGAGGCAAGGUGCCCCCGGACCCCUUCUUCCAAAUAUACUCUUUUGUCUCUUGUCUUUU